rnacentral:rRNA from 1 species
UGACAGUCGAACGCUAUUUAUAGAGUGGCGCACGGGUGAGUACGCGUGGGAACUGCCCUUCUGAGUGGGAUAACGUUUGGAAACGAACGCUAAUACCACAUACGCCCUACGGGGGAAAGGUCCGCCGCAGAAGGAGGUGCCCGCGUCCGAUUAGCUUGUUGGUGAGGUAAUGGCUCACCAAGGCGACGAUCGGUAGCUGGUCUGAGAGGAUGAUCAGCCACACUGGGACUGAGACACGGCCCAGACUCCUACGGGAGGCAGCAGUGGGGAAUAUUGGACAAUGGGGGCAACCCUGAUCCAGCAAUGCCGCGUGUGUGAUGAAGGCCCUAGGGUUGUAAAGCACUUUCACUGGUGAAGAUGAUGACGGUAGCCAGAGAAGAAGCCCCGGCUAACUUCGUGCCAGCAGCCGCGGUAAUACGAAGGGACCUAGCGUAGUUCGGAAUUACUGGGCUUAAAGAGUUCGUAGGUGGUUGAAAAAGUUAGUGGUGAAAUCCCAGAGCUUAACUCUGGAACUGCCAUUAAAACUUUUCAGCUAGAGUAUGAUAGAGGAAAGCAGAAUUUCUAGUGUAGAGGUGACAUCCGUAGAUAUCAGACAGAAUACCAAUUGCGAAGGCAGCUUUCUGGAUCAUUACUGACCCUGAGGAACGAAAGCAUGGGUAGCGAAGAGGAUAGCUCCCUCGUAGCCAUGCCCCAACGAUGGU